CAAGAAGCGAUUGAACAUUGCCGAGCAAAUGCUACAGCGUGAGCUCGACGCGUGUCCAAAGGUGCACUCUAUAGAGGAGUGUAUGGUAAGAUUGUAUGAUAUUUCAAAUCUGUCCCUAGACGCUAUCCUCUGUGCAUGUGAAGCGUUCAAAGAUGACCGCAACAGAUCGAUCUUUAUGUCAUUGAGUGACGAUAUUCUUUAUAUGUGGAUUGAUCGUCAACUAGUCAUACAAAGGGCAGCCGCUGGCCAUAAACCCGAUGCACCUUCCUUCCCUCCUAACUAGAUAAAAAACUUUCCUACUCUACUGUCAGUUUUUGAUCGCCUUGCAUAGAAACCUAAUAUAUUUUGGAUGCGUCGUAUGGUUAGCAUGGGCUAUGUUAACUAUAUUUAUGUUUGUUUCUCCUAUGUUGCAUGUGAACUACUCCAUGGCUGGUUUUGUGCUUCUACCCAUGCUGUGGUGGUAAAGAAAAUGCAUUUUGGAUAUGUACUGUCAGCAUAACCUAUUGCUUUUAUGCAAAUUUUGGACUUUCUAGGUUACUGCUGACUUAAUCUAAUUUUAUGUUAUAAUGGCAGCAAAUCCUUAUGUACUCUUUCAAUUUUUAUCUUAAACUACUGUUGUUUCUUGCUUCGUUAUCCUGAUACAACUUUUGACACAUUCUUGGAAAUUACUUAUACUACAACUGCACUCGAAAAUAGAUUAAAUUUCAAGUGCCAGCAUGCAGUUCUUCAGGUGGGUUGAUUAUGGACGUACGUUACUUUUAAUCUAUCUAUGCAUAUUGAAACUGAGGUACAACAAAUUUUAUGGGUUAAAGGCAUCAACUCAAAGCUUCCUGAAGGUUUUUAAAAAACCUAUUUGCAAAGGUACGGGCGAUGAUGAUUAAUAUGUGUGAGAGGUAGGGAGGCAGUUAAGAUUUCUUAUUCUGCAGCCACCAACUUAGCCAUUUGGAAAGCUCGCCGCGAUGAUGCAUAAUAGAAUAAAAUGGUAGGGAGGCAUGGAUAUUCUCUUUCCUUGCAGCCAUCAUUUUAUUCUUCACACUUAUUAACCUGAGCUUGGUAAUUGUGUAACAAUUUGAAGGGGGCAAAAUGUACGCUUUUCUUUGAUCUUUAUGUAACAUGGUUAUACUAUGAUUCUUAUCAAAAUAGAUCUGAUGACAGCAUUUCCUUCCAAGUCUUAAACUAAAUACUUACCGAUAUUAUAGUUGGCUGUCAUUUUUCUCGAAUUGAUGGCACCAUGUGCAAAAGCACUCCUCUGAUCUUGAUGUUACUAAAUUAUAGUAGGUUACGAAUGUGGCCUUGCUGGCAGUACUUUAUUUUCUAUCUUCUACUUGUGAUUGUUGUAUAUUUCAGUAGAUUUUUAUAUUGGUGGCUUUGAUGGGUAAAUAUUAUUUUAUGUAUUCUGCAUUUGAUGUACCUACAUUUUUACAUGUCCUGAAGUUAUUAAGAUUCUAUUAUUUCCUAUCGCUCUUGAUACCACUAUAAUAUAGCUGUUUCUAAAUAUCUAUGCUCUUUUUUCUGCUACUCUUGAUGUCCAUCUCUUUUAUCUGUUGUGUAGGAAAAUAUUAUCAAUCUUUUUUCCAAUCUGUGUGCACUUUAUUUAUCUAAAAUGCAGACCGAGUUUUAUCUCUUUUGUUGCUACUAUGUACAUAUCUGUUGUUGCAGGUUCAAACCUACAGGAUUGUUGCAUGCAUAUAUGCAUUCCUGCUAUAUUGCACAAUAUUUGGACAUAUAGUAUUGCACUUUGUAAAUUGCUGGGAUGGCUCACAGAUAAUUAGUACUUUUGUUAUGCUAUUUUUGACGCUAAUUGCAAUAUAUACUACAGCCACCAUUGCUCUUGAUACUCCUUUUAAACCUGGGUCAACAAUAAUCAGGUUGGCAGGAAGUGAAGCUUUUUUUGUCCUGCUGUUUUCGAAUCUGCUAGCAGCAUAUUUAUAAAGGGUGCAGAUGUUUCGGUGAUGAUGCUCGAAAGGAUUUACAACGGUAAUGGUAGGGAGAUAGUGAAUUCCUGAUCUGCGGCCACCAAUUCAUCAAAAUCUUUGCAAUUCUGAGCCAACAAAAAACAGGUUGCACAAAAGGAUAAGUAGAUGCAAAUGGUAGGGAGGCAGUGAAGGUCUCAACUGUCGCCACCAUUUCAUAUUAAAUCCUUUCCAACCUGAGCCAAAUACCGGUUUAACUUAUAAAAGACUAGUUGUAAUUUUGUUUUGGCCAUACAACUACUUGGUACAAUUAUAAUAAUUCUUUGAACAAUUGCUAAUAUUUUCUUCCGUUGCAGCCAUGAGCGAGAUAAUCAAUCGUCGUGCAUUUUCGUCUCCAAAUGUGGCUAACCUCAUGACAAAUUUGGAUGAGGAGGAAGAUUAUUGGGAAGAGGUGCAAGCCAUUCUAUUUGAUGAAUGUGUCCUGGCAUUUCAAGACACCUUAUAUAAGAGACCUUGUCGCACUAGACCUUUCACUGGGCACCAACUAAUUAUGGAUAUACUGAGAGAACAUCCUGAUAGAGGGUACCAACAUUUUCGAAUGUGCAACACAACAUUCAUGCGACUUCGCGAUGAAUUGGUCGGUAGAGGGUUGAUACAAGGCACCCGACAUCUUACAGCUGAUGAACAACUUGGCAUUUUUUUGUUCGUUGUCGGCCAUGGUGUAACAAAUAGAGUGCUGGCUAAAAUGUUUCAACACUCAGGGGAGAUUAUAAGUAGAUAUUUUAAUAAUGUCUUACGUGGUGUGGUCGAACUUUGACAUGAUUAUAUACAGUUGCCAAGUGGUAAUGCUGGGAUGCACUCCAAAAUUAGGGAUAACCUAUUAUUCCAUCCCUUUAAGAAUGCAAUUGGUGCUAUAGAUGGGAUGCAUAUACCAGUGGUUGUAAGAAAAAGCAAGCAACCAUGAUAUCGUUGUCGCAAAGGAUAUACAUCACAGAAUAUGAUGGCCGCAUGCUCGUUUGAUCAUCAGUUCUUGUUCGUAUGCACCGGAUGGGAGGGAUCUGCAGCUGAUAUGAGGGUGCUGCAUUGGUGUUGUGAGAGUGGCGGUUUUAUGGUUCCCGAAGGAAAAUUCUAUUUGGUCGAUUCAAGUUAUGCAAAUAGCGAUCGAUUCCUUGCGCCAUUUAGAGGUGAGCGAUAUCACUUGAGCCAAUUUGAUGGUAAUACAAGGGCGCGCGCACAUCGAGGACCACGAGAUCUAUACAAUCACAGGCACACGCAACUUAGAAAUGUUGUUGAGAAGGCCUUCGGGAUUUUGAAGAAGCGAUUCAAGGCGCUCCGCCAAGCGACUCCAUUUCCAUACAAGGUGCAAUGCCGCAUAAAUUUAGCAUGUUGUGUUAUUCAUAACUUUAUUAAGAGGCAUCAGGGAAGUGAUAUAUACUUCAACAUGCAAAUGGAGCCGACACCCCUUGAAGAGCAAGCAGAGGAUCCUACACGUCUCGUUGGAAUAGAUGAGUCACGACGAGGCGACACUCUUCGCACUAUGAUUACAUAGCAGUUAUGGAGUAAUCGCUAGGAUGGUUUUCUUCACUAUGUAAUAAAAACUCUUGCAUUUACAGCCUGCUGUGUUAGAGGCAAAAAUCAAUAUGUGACUUUGACUAUCAUGUGAUGUAGUGUACUGUUGUUUUAAACAUGUUUCCCGUAUGUUGUAAACAUGUUUCUUCUAUACAUUAUCAUUUAUAUUUGGCCAUCUAAUUUGAAUACCAACAAAUGACUAUUGGACUCCAUAAAUGUGAUAUUCUGUCAAAUUUAAUUUUAGGUCAUUAAUUUUAGAAUAAAAUAACAAUGAACUGUUUCAUUUUUUAUAGCUAUUUCUAAUUGGUGCUGGCAUGAUAAUGUUGCUCUGUAUUGAUGAGCCUAAUUUCAUCUCUGUGAAUUAAAUUAUUUAACAGUUACUCAUGCAAGUACUUUUUGCUCAUGUAUAUAUGAUAAGUAUAGUUCUUAAUCAUGUUCAGGGCUAAUUUUAUUAUACAAGUAAUUUAAUAUAUUAUAAAUUAUGAUAUAUAUAUAAGGGCAAUUUUGGCAUUUGCAAAUAUUUCAAUCUACUUUUAUUACUAUUCUUCUCUUCUUUCAAAAAAUUAGGCAAACAUCAUUUAGCUUAUUCUAGAGGAUAAGCUCAUUUCCAACCAAACAGAAAAUGAUUUUUAUUUCUCUCUAUCCUAGAAUUUAGAGAUAUUUCAAGGAUAAAAAAAAUUAUCCCUCAAAUUAAUAUUCUAUUUCCAAACGCAGCCUUAAGGUUACUAUUCUGAUUGUUAUAUUAUUUACAAUGAACAUAGAUAUUAAAUUUAGCAAAUAACAUCACCUAUCUCAGGAAACAGCAUAUUAUAAGGAAAAUCGAUUCAUAAGAUCAAAUUAUUCCAUGCUAUAGGUAUUGAAAAUUUAAGUGAUAGAUCAUGCUAAAGUAAUAUCCAAGGACAAGCACUGAUAGGCAAUAAGAAUUGCCAAUCUCAAAGCUAUCAAAUGGGCCACACAAGAUUUUCCUAAGAAUAAAAGAAAAUUUGGCUAAAUUACACUGUAAGGACCCGAACUUGUAAGCAACUUUUGCUUUAGUCCUAAAACCUGUAAGUUUGAUAUCCAAAAUUUUGAGAGCAUUUCACUUAGUCCCUCUCAUAUACUGGUAGAGAAAAAUAUUACCUCUGCCUAGUGUACCUUGCAUCAUUCGGCCCUCGAUCUCAUCUUAUAUUCCAAUCACUGUUAUCUAUUGAGUGGGUGCAUUUU